CUGGGACACUUCAUGGUUCAUAUCAAAACACAGAGUGAAGAGAACAUCCUCUGGGCCAUCUCAGAGUGUGAGUUUGGGGCGGGGGUGGCUCCUGGUUAACAUUUCUGUCCACUGCAGCAUUCCUUUUCCCUUUUGCUUUUAGAUUCUUCCCUUGACAUCACACCAGGAAAGUCUGACAACUUAACUUUAUUGGAUAUAGGCAACCGUUGAAUCCAAGUUUUGCCCACUGAAUCCAUCAAAUUGUUACAGCCAAUUCUAGAUGCCUGAGUGGACACAUGAAAUCCAGAUUCCCCAAAGGCCAUGGAAAGACACAGAAGACACAAGGGGAAGGACAUGGUGCGAAGACAGAGGCAGAGAGCUUGGAGUAUUGCAGCU
rnacentral:lncRNA from 1 species